AUUGAACGCUGGCGGCAUGCCUUACACAUGCAAGUCGAACGGUAACAGGUCUUCGGAUGCUGACGAGUGGCGAACGGGUGAGUAACACAUCGGAACGUGCCCGAUCGUGGGGGAUAACGCAGCGAAAGCUGUGCUAAUACCGCAUACGAUCUACGGAUGAAAGCAGGGGAUCGCAAGACCUUGCGCGGACGGAGCGGCCGAUGGCAGAGUAGGUAGUUGGUGGGGUAAAGGCUCACCAAGCCUGCGAUCUGUAGCUGGUCUGAGAGGACGACCAGCCACGCUGGGACUGAGACACGGCCCAGACGCCUACGGGAGGCAGCAGUGGGGAAUUUUGGACAAUGGGCGCAAGCCUGAACCAGCCAUGCCGCGUGCAGGAUGAAGGCCUUCGGGUUGUAAACUGCUUUUGUACGGAACGAAAAGACUCUGGUUAAUACCUGGGGUCCAUGACGGUACCGUAAGAAUAAGCACCGGCUAACUACGUGCCAGCCGCCGCGGUAA
rnacentral:rRNA from 1 species